AUAUACGGGUCCUCAUAGUGGAGUUGAUUUAGUUGGUUAAAGGAAACGCUGUAUCCACCAGGCACCACGAACUGCACAGAUGAGGUAGCUAUUGUAAGUAACUUACUACUAACCUCUCGCUUGAGGUCAAAUCACCCGGACACUGAUUAUCAAUGUAGAAGGCACCACCGUUUACACUGAUCAUGGCAACGAGACCACCCCUCUCCUGGGAAAUAGGAGGCAAGGGAUAGAGGGGCCUCCAUCUGUCUUCAAUCUGAUGAAGGUCAUCAUGGGCAGUGCCAUCCCGGACCUGGCCUAAGCAAUGGCCAACACCGGUAUAGUGAGCUUCGGUUGCUGCUAGUGUCCAGUCUGGCAGCUUACUCUAUACACCUCCUACUGAUGCUGUGUGAUCUAACAGCCAUGUCGUCAUACAUGUUCAUCUUGAAAACCGAGCUUCCUGCAGCCAUCGCCAGCUUCCUAAGCCGGGUGGCCUGGUAUGAAGAUGGCAGGAUGUUACUGAUUCUGAUGACUUGUGAGGUUCCUCUGGCUCUACUGACCCAAGAUUGGAGAGUGGCACAGUUUGGUCUCAUCUGGCACACUUGUCCUUAAAUCUAUAUGAUAGACAUGUGUAUCACCAUCUUUGUCCUUCCACCCUCCAGGAUUCCGGGCUACACCAGCAGCCUCCUCUUCAUGCUCAUCUUCUUAGUUGUGGUUGUGGUCAAGAAAUGGGUACAUCCCCUGCCCCCUACCAAGCAAUGUGAGCAGGUGUAACAACCACAUUACAAACGGCCCUAAUCACACACACCAAAUACUGAAAGUGACCUGUAGGCUGUGAGCUUCACUUCAGGUGGCAGGUAGCCUAGCGGUUAACAGCGUUGGGCCUGUAACCGAAAGGUCGAUGGUUUGAAUACCCGAGCCGGCAAAAUAUGGAAAAAUCUGCUUCUGAGCAAGGCAGUUAACCCCCAACAAAAACUGUUCCCAGGGCACCGAUGACGUGGACGUCGAUUUAAGGAAGCCCCCUGCACCUCUCUGAUUCAGAGGGAUUGGGUUAAAUGGGGAAGACACAUUUCAGUUCAAUGCAUUCAGUUCUGCAACUUACUAGGUUUUCCCUUUCAUAAUUUUUUUUGUAUCUAACUGCCACAGUGACUGGUGGACCAAAAUGUUAAUUUCCCACCCUGGUAACACCUACCCUCGAGUCCUGGUUGUAGGAUUAGGCAGGAAUCCUGGAGAUUGCGUUUCUGAAUGGGAGGCUUUGGUGGCUGACUGAGCCAUUUAUGUAUUGACGAAUACCAGAGAAUGCUGCACUGUGACUGGUGCCAGUCCUGAAGGGGAGGAAGUACUUACGACCCUGCCAGUGCCAGGAGGUGAACUUUGACCUUGUUGGAUAUAACAGCAGCACUAUUGCUUCCUUGUAUACAGUCAUGGCUGUGGGUCCAUUUAAAUGGCUGUUGUUUAGUUUCCUCCGUAGUCAAGACUAUGGAAUUCAAUUUACCCCAAAGACACUCGUAUUUCCAACCACCCUUUACAACUCCUCUCAUUUCUGAAACAUUAUAAAUGAACAAGAGUGAAAUUAACAUUGGUGCAUUUAAUUACAUUUUUCCAGAUAUCGAAUUCCUUCGGAUUUGGAAUGUACGCCCAAACUCUCACCCAGUAAGGUAUAUAUAUGCAUCGGUGCCAUUUUAUGAUGAGUGAGGACAAUAGAAUAAAAAAAACAUUAUGAAACCAUGGCCUUAUUUCUAUUACAGCACAUUGGAUGACUGUCAUUCAUAUUCCAUUCACUCUGCUGAAUGUAACAUCGAUAUGUUUCGGCUACUACAUGAUACUCAAAUGUUCCCUAUACCCAUCAUGAGGUUGCUACAACCUAGCUUAUGAAUGAAACUUUACAACAUAAGUGCACAGGUCGAGAGAAAUUUGAGUAAUCAAGGUGACAGACGUUGACGCAUUCAAUACCGCCUUGCACACUCGUCUGCAUCUAGCUGAUCUAAGGUGUAAUCAUUAGUCCUGCAGUUGCAAACAAAUUUCUAUUGGACAAAUUCAAGUAUGUUUAUCCAUGUUUUGUUCUGUUUGCUUCCGUUUAAGAAACAUAAGCCCUUGAUCACAUGCAAACACAGUUCACUUUCAUGGCAGCCACAUACAAACAGCAAUGAUCCUUAUUGGAUCUAUGCAGUCUCCUCUCACCUUUUCCCUUUGCUUGUGAACUUCAGUGCACAACACAUCAGCUGUCUGUUAACAGGUGAAAAAACCCUUCCAAGCCAAACCUUAAUAUCAUUACCGCUAACAGCUACACACAGCCUACAUCGUUGUCAUCAUAUUAGCUAACAUCAUAAUUAACAUAGCUACUAGAACUAAUGUGUUACUAAACUGCUACAAUCACACAGGGCCGUGUACAGCGAGCAGUUCAGCAGUUACACCGGAGGACACUGGUGGUUAUACAACCAAAAGCUUACCUUGACUUGGAUGAGUUCCAGUGUUGGAUAGCCAUAGCCAGCUAGCAUCCCUCUUGAGCCAGGUAUUAGAGUAGGCUAAACUAGCUAGCUGCAUCUAUGUCUCUUGCUUCACCAUUUUUUAAGAAAUUAGUUUGUUCAAAACUGUUCAACUAUUGUCUUUCUCUGAGUCAACUACACACCACAUUUUAUGCACUGCAGUGCUAGCUAGCUGUAGCAUAUGCUUUCAGUACUUUAUUUAUUCUCUGAUCCUUUGAUUGGAUGGACAACAUGUCAGUUCAUGCUGCAAGAGCUCGGAUGAGUUGGAGGACGUCCUCCGGAAGUUGUCAUAAUAACUGUGUAACUCUAUGGAAGGGGGUGAGAACCACGAGCCUCCUAGGUUUUGUGUUGAAGUCAGUGAACCCAGAGGAUUGUGGAAGCUAGCUGUACCUCGGCUACACCAUGGUGCUACCCUACAGAGUGCUGUUGAGGCUACUGUAGACCUUCAUUGCAAAACAGUGUUUUAAUAAAUUAUUUGGUGACGUGUAUAAAUGUGAUAUAGUUGUCAAAAAAGGAUGACUUCAAUGUUUCACUAUUUAACAUUUUCUGAAAUUUACUGAUGAGGAUGGUCCUCUCCCUCUUCCGAGGAGCCUCCACUGAUGCAUUGACUCAACUUGUCUCCAUCAACCCUGGAUAUGUAGUCAGUAAAACAGACUGUAUAAUAUUUGUAAGCUGUAAUACGCUUUAUUGCAAUUAAUAGUGCAGUACAAUUAUUACAGUUGCAGAAGCAGUUUUCUGGAUCUUCUGGAGCUUUAGUAAAAGGCACCGUCUGUCUAUAGUUCUUAGUCACUGUCAGUGGUGACAUUUCCCAAUCAUUAAGAGUGCAGGAUUGUGUAGUGUAUGGAAUAACAUAUGCUCCAGAGCUGAGUGCAACCAGCAGCUGCCACUCACGUGUGAAUGUGCCUGUACUAUUAAUCUGUGUGUGUCUGGGGGGGCGUGCAGAAUUACAUGGCACACAUGGUUAUACGAUUCAGAUACCAUGAUAUAUUGCUGCCAGAGGAGCCAGUGCAAAAGUGUGUUUUAUUUGUGUGCAGUGUGCAUGUAUUUAUAGAUAUGUCUAAAAUACUAAAUCGGAGAACUUCUCACCUCAACUUUACAAUAUCACACACUGCAGUUUUGCUGGUAAUGACUACUACUAUUAUUAUUACUCGUACAACUAUUACUACUAGACACACACACACACUGCCCCCCCCCCCCUACUUUCCCUGGGUAACCGUAUAGGUUUCUACGGUGUUAAUGACGGCAGUGUAGGGAAUGAUGGAUGUGUGUUUUGAGUGCUUACAUCAUCCCCACCAUGGCCUUCUCCUUCCUCUGCCACACUGCUGUGGUGCCCAUCUACUGUGAGCUGGACCAGUCAGUACCCUGCCUGCCUGACUGACGCAGCCUUUACACAUCCUUCUAAACAGUGAGUUUUCUGCCAUUGUAAUCCUUGGGCUGGCCGUGUGUGUAAAAAAAAAUAUUUAAAAAAUACAAAUACAAAAAAAAUAUAUAUUUAUUAUUCAUUUUCAUGAAUGGAAAAACACUUCAAACUUCAAAGACUAAUACCAGAUAUAAAGUAUGUUGAAAUUAUGAUGGUACUAUUAUUUUUAAAUGUAAUUUUUGAGAACUAGCAAUCACCAAAAUAAAAACUAGACAGUCAGGGAGAAUUAAGUUCCCAAAACAAUGAUUUAAGCAGUAUUGGUUUUGUUAUGUUUGAGCAAAAGAACACAGUAUAUGCCAUGGAAAAAUCUAUUUAAUUGCAGGAAAUUGGUUUUAAAAAUGCAAAAUGAAAUGGGCAGUGACACACUUCACAGAGAGAGCUGGUUGACACUACAAGCUCUAUUAAAUCCAUGGUGUCUCUACCUCCUCCUAAAAUGUUAUAUUGGACCAGUCCUUCACUUUGCUUUAUCUCUCUGACAGGCCACAUGGACACAGAGCUGUUGCUAGGCUACGACGUGAACCUUCCGAGUGAUGUGUUGGUGAUGGAAAAGAGACCAUGGUCUCAGCAUUGACUCCAUUUCAAAAUAAAUGUUCAAUUAAAAACUAAAAUGUCUGAGCGUCUGACAAUCCUGCUGGCUGUGCUGCUGACUGUGUUUGGGGUUGUGGGUAGGUGUUAAGUCGUUUAACUGAUGGGGUCUCCUUUUGGGGGGUAUUUAUUGUUCCACUAGCAUCUACUGGUAAUGUUAGGACCUUAUUAGCUAAAUGGGUUUUGAAUGGUUGGUUAAUGUUCUUAAUGUUUAGGUUCUUUAAUCUGUAGUUUGCUUUGGGUGUUAAGUAUAGCAUGGUGUACCGUGUGUACAAAGUCUCUGGAGUCUGUCGUGGUAAAUGCACACUUCCCAAAUUCAUCCUCAUACUGGAGUUGUUUAGCCUCAUAAAUCAUGGAAAAGACAAGAUUGCAAGGACCCCCCCCAAAAAAAAAAAGUUACUUUUUUUUAAUGGCAAUGUUUUCAUAUCUGCUGGCAAUGUAAUGAUCAUGACUAACCUGUGACCGCACUGUAUCACUACGAUGAUGUCAUUUCCUUGUGCCCCCAGGCUCUGUUUCUGCUAAUCUUCAGCCUGUUUGUGGGACUGCUCAGUCUGUGUCAUCGUGGUCACCUGGGCAGAGAACCCCUGAACAGGACCACAGGACCAGACAAGCCAUGUACCUGCUCCAUGGAGCCUAAAGGGAAAAUGCUGCCAGAUAAAUCAUAUUUGGCAGCAAACCAGGACGCUAUGACCACCAAACAGGCCAGUGGUAGGACCACAAGAUCACUGCAUCCAGACUCUGAAAGCAUAAGACUGCCCAGUUACUGAAUGUUGCGCGGAUGUAUUGAGUGAAUAUACUAUACCUUCCUCUAUACCGCACCUCCGGUAUCCAUAGAAGAAAAGUCAUUCAAAUGCUUAUCAACUAUUUCAUUAUAUGAUCAAUUUAUUGUACUGUAAAAUGUUAAAUAAAAGGGAAACAUUGUGAUUU